rnacentral:rRNA from 1 species
AUAGCCCAUGGAAACGUGGAUUAAUCCCCCAUACCAUUAAUAUGUGGCAUCUUAUAUUAAUGAAAUCUUCGGAGGUAUCAGAUGGGCAUGCGUCCUAUUAGCUAGUUGGCGGGGUAACGGCCCACCAAGGCGAUGAUAGGUAGGGGUUCUGAGAGGAAGGUCCCCCACAUUGGAACUGAGGCACGGUCCAAACUCCUACGGGAGGCAGCAGUGAGGAAUAUUGGUCAAUGGCCGGAAGGCUGAACCAGCCAAGUCGCGUGAGGGACGACUGCCCUAUGGGUUGUAAACCUCUUUUAUAAGGGAAGAAUAAAUGCUACGUGUAGCAUGAUGCCUGUACCUUAUGAAUAAGCAUCGGCUAACUCCGUGCCAGCAGCCGCGGUAAUACGGAGGAUGCGAGCGUUAUCCGGAUUUAUUGGGUUUAAAGGGUGCGUAGGCGGUUUUUUAAGUUAGUGGUUAAACGUCGGGGCUUCACCUUGAUUUGCCAUUAAUACUGUAAGACUCGAGUUCAGACGAGGUAGGCGGAAUAAGUUAAGUAGCGGUGAAAUGCUUAGAUAUAACUUAGAACUCCGAUAGCGAAGGCAGCUUACCAGACUGCGACUGACGCUGAAGCACGAGAGCGUGGGUAGCGAACAGGAUUAGAUACCCUGGUAGUCCACGCCGUAAACGAUACUCACUGGUUCUGUGCGACAUACCGUACGGG